AUUGAACGCUGGCGGCAGGCCUAACACAUGCAAGUCGAGCGGAUGAAGGGAGCUUGCUCCUGGAUUCAGCGGCGGACGGGUGAGUAAUGCCUAGGAAUCUGCCUGGUAGUGGGGGAUAACGUCCGGAAACGGGCGCUAAUACCGCAUACGUCCUGAGGGAGAAAGUGGGGGAUCUUCGGACCUCACGCUAUCAGAUGAGCCUAGGUCGGAUUAGCUAGUUGGUGGGGUAAAGGCCUACCAAGGCGACGAUCCGUAACUGGUCUGAGAGGAUGAUCAGUCACACUGGAACUGAGACACGGUCCAGGCUCCUACGGGAGGCAGCAGUGGGGAAUAUUGGACAAUGGGCGAAAGCCUGAUCCAGCCACGCCGCGUGGGUGAAGAAGGUCUGCGGAUUGUAAAGCACUUUAAGUUGGGAGGAAGGGCAGUAAGUUAAUACCUGGCUGUUUUGACGUUACCAACAGGAUAAGCACCGGCUAACUUCGU
rnacentral:rRNA from 1 species